CAGGACGAACGCUGGCGGCGUGCUUAACACAUGCAAGUCGAACGGGAGUAUUGAAGAAGCUUGCUUAGAGAUACUUUAGUGGCGGACGGGUGAGUAACGCGUGAGGAGCUGUCCUAUGCAGGGGGACAACAGCUGGAAACGGCUGCUAAUACCCCAUAAGCCGAGAGGUAAAAGGAUCAAUCCGGCAGAGGAGGUACUCGCGUCCUAUCAGCUAGUAGGUGAGGUAACGGCUCACCUAGGCGAAGACGGGUAGCCGGCCUGAGAGGGCGAACGGCCACACUGGAACUGAGAUACGGUCCAGACUCCUACGGGAGGCAGCAGUGGGGAAUAUUGGGCAAUGGGGGGAAAAACCCCCUGACCCAGCGACGCCGCGUGGGUGAAGAAAUCCUUCGGGAUGUAAAGCCCUGUUGUAUGGGAAGAGCGGAAGACGGUACCAUACGAGGAAGCCCCGGCAAACUACGUGCCAGCAGCGGC
rnacentral:rRNA from 1 species